rnacentral:rRNA from 1 species
CAGUCGCCGCGGGAAUACGGAGGGUGCAAGCGUUAAUCGGAAUUACUGGGCGUAAAGCGUGCGUAGGCGGUUCGUUAAGUCUGUUGUGAAAGCCCCGGGCUCAACCUGGGAAUGGCAAUGGAUACUGGCGAGCUAGAGUGUGUCAGAGGAUGGUGGAAUUCCCGGUGUAGCGGUGAAAUGCGUAGAGAUCGGGAGGAACAUCAGUGGCGAAGGCGGCUUACUGGCUCAUUCUAGACGCUGAGGUGCGAAAGCGUGGGGAGCAAACAAGAUUAGAUACCCCCGUAGUCCCUGUCUCUUAUAC